rnacentral:tRNA from 1 species
UAGAUUGAAGCCAGUUGUCUAGGGUAUUUAGCUGUUAACUAAAAUUUCGUGGGGUGAAAGCCCACCAAUCUAG